GACGAACGCUGGCGGCGUGCCUAAUACAUGCAAGUUGAGCGCUGAAGGUUGGUACUUGUACCAACUGGAUUAGCAGCGAACGGGUGAGUAACGCGUGGGUAACCUGCCUUUGAGCCGGGGACAACAUUGGGAAACGAAUGCUAAUACCGCAUAAAAACUUUAAACACAAGUUUUAAGUUUGAAAGAUGCAAUUGCAUCACCCAAAGAUGAUCCCGCGUUGUAUUAGCUAGUUGGUGAGGUAAAGGCCCACCAAGGCGAAGAUACAUAGCCGAACUGAGAGGGGGGUCGGCCACAUUGGGACUGAGAAACCGCCCCAAACCCUACGGGAGGCAGCAGUAGGGAAACUUUGGCAAUGGACGGAAGGCCGGACGGGGCAAGCCGGGUGGGGGAAGAAGGGUUUCGGGUCGUAAAACUCUGUUGGUAGAGGAGAACGUUGGUGAGAGUGAACAGCUCAUGAAGUGACGGUAACUAAUCAGAAAGGGACGGCUAACUACGUG
rnacentral:rRNA from 1 species